rnacentral:misc_RNA from 1 species
GCCAAACAAGACCUUUGUCAUAUAGUUCAUCAAUUAAUUACUCCCUAAAGUUUGAAAAAUUACAUCCCUCUCAACAAUGUUAAUGGUUUUCAAGAGUAUGCUACAAGAGCUCCAUCCACCCCAGCCUCCUACCUGCUUAACCACCUGAACCAGACAGAUAUAACAGACUAACAGAGAGCAGCUAGAAAAUAAUCAUGACUCUGGGAAAGCUACCUCUUGCCGUUCAUGGCGGAUGCAAUGAUCUGAGGAAAGGUUCCCUAGAGCAUGAUGAAAUUACAAAACCAUCCUGCCAAUGAGGAAGAAGAAAAGGCAAAGAACAAAGAAAUGCACCAAAGUUACCUAUUUCAGGCCAAGGCAUCAACGUUUUCUCAUCUUGUUUUCAAUCUGGUGUUUGGGCAUAAAUUAUAUCGUGUACACGCUUCCACUCAAAAAGUGAGGCUUGGAGACGUGAAAUAUAUGCAUUUCUUACAAAAGCAUUCACACGAACACCCACCAGUUGCUAUCACUUCAGAGCGAUUGCAGCCACUGCUAUGGGCUUUAAUUAUUCUUACAUGCACCAGUACAUUACAGAAACCAAAGGAAAGGACCUUAGAGAACUCAAUAAUGGGUCAACUCAACUCCAAUUAUUGAACAAGGUGUCAAACUGUUGCAUAAUGGAGCUGUAAAUCAAGAAGAAAACAACUGUGCAGAGGAAUUUAUGAAUUGAGAGAAGAAUUUCUUAAUUUAGAAUUAUGACAAAGAAUGAUUCCCGGCUCAAUUGGGGAACAAUUGCUUCUAAAAAAAAAAAAAAACUUUAUCCCGUGAUUAAAUUAUAUGCCUAAUUCUGGCACUACUUUUCU